rnacentral:pre_miRNA from 11 species
GCUCUCGGAGAACAGGGAGCCACUCUGCGUUCACUCGGUGGGUAAUGAAGCGGGUGAACACAGCUGGUGGUAUCUCAGUUUUCUGAGGGCG